AAUACGCCCGCGUUAGCGAUUGUAAUGGCAUCCUUUUUUGAAGAAUGAAAAAAAGAUAUAGUGGAAAGCGCGGCCUGAA
rnacentral:sRNA from 1 species